rnacentral:rRNA from 1 species
GUACUGGGGCGAACGUUAUUCGGAAUCACUGGGCUUAAAGGGUGCGUAGGCGGCCGAGCAAGUCGGAUGUGAAAGGGCCAGGGGCUCAACCUUGGCACGCCGUUCGAAACUUCUCGGCUCGAGCAAGAUAGGGGUGUGUGGAACUUCCAGUGGAGCGGUGAAAUGUGUUGAUAUUGGAAGGAACGCCGGUAGCGAAAGCGGCACACUGGGUCUUGUCUGACGCUGAGGCACGAAAGCCAGGGGAGCGAACGGGAUUAGAUACCCCGGUAGUCCUGGCUGUAAACGAUGAGCACUAGUCGGGAGGGGUUUCGGCCCAUCCGGACGCAGCGAAAGCAUGAAGUGCUCCGCCUGGGGAGUAUGGUCGCAAAGGCUG